rnacentral:tRNA from 1 species
GAGGGUGUAGCUCAAGUGGUAGAGCACAUGCUUAGCAUGCACGAAGUCCUGGGUUCAAUCCCCUAGUACCUCCU